AGAGUUCGAUCCUGGCUCAGGAUGAACGCUGGCGGCGUGCUUAACACAUGCAAGUCGAACGAGAAGUGAAGACGGAAACCUUCGGGCGGAAGGCUUUAUUUCGAGUGGCGGACGGGUGAGUAACGCGUGGGUAACCUGCCUCAUACAGGGGGAUAACAGUUGGAAACGACUGUUAAUACCGCAUAAGACCACAGCACCGCAUGGUGCGGGGGUAAAAACUCCGGUGGUAUGAGAUGGACCCGCGUUCGAUUAGCCAGUUGGCGGGGUAACGGCCCACCAAAGCGACGAUCGAUAGCCGAUCUGAGAGGAUGACCGGCCACAUUGGGACUGAGACACGGCCCAAACUCCUACGGGAGGCAGCAGUGGGGAAUAUUGCACAAUGGGGGAAACCCUGAUGCAGCGACGCCGCGUGAGUGAAGAAGUAUUUCGGUAUGUAAAGCUCUAUCAGCAGGGAAGAUGAUGACGGUACCUGACUAAGAAGCCCCGGCUAACUACGUGCCAGCAGCCGCGGUAAUACGUAGGGGGCAAGCGUUAUCCGGAUUUACUGGGUGUAAAGGGAGCGCAGACGGCUCUGCAAGUCUGAAGUGAAAGCCCGCGGCUUAACCGCGGGACUGCUUUGGAAACUGCAAGGCUUGAGUAUCGGAGGGGCAGGCGGAAUUCCUAGUGUAGCGGUGAAAUGCGUAGAUAUUAGGAAGAACACCGGUGGCGAAGGCGGCCUGCUGGACGAAAACUGACGUUGAGGCUCGAAGGCGUGGGGAGCAAACAGGAUUAGAUACCCUGGUAGUCCACGCGGUAAACGAUGAAUACUAGGUGUUGGUGCCCGAAGGGCAUCGGUGCCGUCGCAAACGCAAUAAGUAUUCCACCUGGGGAGUACGUUCGCAAGAAUGAAAC
rnacentral:rRNA from 1 species